rnacentral:rRNA from 1 species
AUUGAACGCUGGCGGCAGGCUUAACACAUGCAAGUCGAGCGAGCGGCGGCCGGGUGAGUAAUGUCUGGGGAACUACCUGAUGGAGGGUGAGAACUACUGGAAACGAUAGCUAAUACCUCCUACUUUCAAAUGUGCCCAGGUGGGAUUGGCUUGUGGGUGGGGUAGUGGCUUACUUAGGCGACGAGGCGUAGCUGGUCUGAGAGGAUGACAAGCUAACCGGGAACUGAGACACGGUCCAGACGCCCACGGGAGGAAGCAGUGGAGAAUAUGGGACAAUUGGAGAAAGCGUGAUGCAGUCAUGCCGCGUGGGUGAAGAAGGCAUUCGGGUUGUAAAGUACUAUCAGCGAGGAGGCGUUACUUGCAGAAGAAGCACCGGCUAACUACGUGCCAGCAGCCGCGGUAAUUC